UACGAUAACAUAAAAAAUAAAGUAAUAAUUGAUAACAAACAAAUCUCCAUGCUAUCAUUGAAUUAGUACAUCGAAUAAUUAAUUAUAGCAUAAACGAUUAUAAGCAUAAGCAUUAGGCGAUAAUCCUACUAUAUUAUUUGGGAAGUACAUUUUAAAUGUAACCUUAAUUUUUGUAAGUAAUUACAUAGGUAUGCCAUUAGAAAUAAAAUUUUAAAGAGUAAAUUAAUUUAUCUUUUCAAGGAUUAAAAAGUCAAAUACUAAUUUAAAUAAUUAAAAUUAAUUAAAAAACGAAAUUAUUAUUAAUUUCUAAAAAUAAUAACCAAUCAAAAUCAACAUAUAAGAUUUGAUAUCUAAAUUUUAUUUAAUUUAAUUUAAUUAGAAAAACGAAAUACAUUAUUAAUUUCCAAAAAGUAACCAAUUAAAAUCAACAAAUUAUAUUUGAUAUCUAAAUUAUCAUAUUAAUGUUUUAUUAAUUAUUAUAGUUCACUUAUCAUCUUUAUAUGAUUCUAUUUUUGCGGAAAAAUAAUAUUAAGAAAACUUUCUACUGAGUAACGGGUCAUAAUUUGAAAUAUUUCUAUUCAAUUUCAUACAUAUUAUAUUGAAAAUUUAUAAUCUUAUAUACUACAAUAAUUAAUAACAUAUUAGAUGUGAUUCAAUUUUUAAUACAAGCUGGAAAAUCUUAGAAUUGACGGGUUCAGAUCGAUAUUAAUACAAGAUGGUAUACUACACAUGAAACUCUUAAAUUAAGAAUCAAACUACAAGUGUAUAAUUCUAAACACUAAACAAUAUAGAUAAUAUCAACAAAACAUAUACAACUCACAGUUUACUAUACAUUUAAAAUCAAAUAAAAUAAUAUCAUAUAUUUUUAAAUCAUCUUUACAAUAAAAGUUUUUAGUUUAACUAAAAUAUAAGCGUACUUGCGGUAUACUGCAGGUUAAUAUCUAGAUUAUAGGGCUUAUUGGAUCUAAAGACGGAUCAUCAAAGAUUUCCUAAACUGAAGCAAAAUAUACUGAAUAUUCAAAUAUCUAUCUGUUACCAAAUUAUAAACAAAUAAGUCAAUUUAAUAUUUUAUAUACGAAAUCAAUUAAAUCUUAAUCACAUAAAAAUUAGCACAAAAAAAAAGUAUUCAACAAUUACAAAAUUAUCAAAUCUUUGUAUUAUAUAAGUUUUGAUACUAUAUUCGAAUAAAAUGUAAUAUACUUUUUCAAUUUGAAUUCUUUAACUAAUUUAAGCUAACUAAUAUAUUUGCUAAUCUUAUACCUAUAAAAACCGACUAUAGUUUCUUAUCUCUAUAGUAUUUUUGCAAGACUUUUUUGGUGGAUUUGGAUAAAAGUGCAUUCGGGUCAUAUGGUACAUUCCCCUAUUAAAUAAAUAUGGUGCACUCCUAUGUUAUUAGCUAAAAAUUUUAGAUUAUAAUUCAGAGUCAUAUCAUAAAUAAAAUUAAUAUUAAUAAAAUAAAUGACUUUUUAGCAAGACGGAUUUGGAGGGACGGGUUUUUUGAAUCAACAUUAAUAAAAAAGUAAAAUAUAAU
rnacentral:sRNA from 1 species